rnacentral:rRNA from 1 species
AACAAGGGUUCGAUCAUGAAACUCAGAUUGAACGCUGGCGGGGAUAACCUACACAUGCAAGUCGGGCGCAGCAGCACGGACUUCGGUCUGGUGGCGGUGGCGAACGGGUAUGAGUAUGUAUCGGAACGUGCUAGUAGCGGGGGAUAACUACAUGACGUAGCUAAUGCCGCAUACGCCCUUCGGGGGAAAGCGGGGGACCUUCGGGCCUCGCACUAUUGAAGCGGCCGAUAUCGGAUUAGCUAGUUGGUGGGGUAACGGCUCGCCGGGCGACGAUCCGUAGCUGGUUUGAGAGGACGACCAGCCACACUGGGACCGGGAACCUGGCCCGAACUCACCACGGAGAGCAGCAGUGGGGAAUUUUGAACCCAAUGGGGGAAACCCUGAUCCCAGCCAUCCCGCGUGUGCGAUGAAGGACUUCGGGUUGUAAGCUUGCACGGCGGGAAAGAAACGGCACGGGAUAAUACCCCGAUGCAACUGACAAUACCUGCAGAAUAAGCACCGGCCUUUAACACGUGCCAGCAGCCGCGGUAAUACGUAAGUGCAAAGCGUUAAUCGGAAUUACUGGGCGUAAAGCGUGCGCAGGCGGUUCGGAAAGAAAAGAUGUGAAAUCCCAGAGCUUAACUUUGGAACUUUACACAUUUUAACUACCGAGCUAGAGUGUGUCGAGGGAGGAAUUAGAAUUCCACAGUGUAGCAGUGAAAUGCGUAGAUAUGCGGAGAACACCGAUAGCGGCAGCCUCCUGGGAUAACACUGACGCUCAUGCACGAAAGCGUGGGGAGCAAACGGGAUUAGAUACCUGGUAGUCCACGCCUAAACGUGUCAACUAGCUGUUGGGGCCUUCGGGCCUUGGUAGCGCAGCUAACGCGUGAAGUUGACCGCCUGGGAGAUACGGUCAUAGUUCAAACUCAAAGGAAUUGACGGGGACCCAUACAAGCAGUGGAUGAUGUGGAUUAAUUCGAUGCAACGCGAAAAACCUUACCUACCCUUGACAUGUCUGGAAUCCCGAAGAGAUUUGGGAGUACUCGCACAGAGAACCGGAACACAGGUACUGCUGGCUGUCGUCAGCUCGUGUUAGCGGUGGGUUAAGUCCCGCAGCAGGCGCAACCCUUGUCAUUAGUUGCUACGAAGGGCACUCAAUGAGACUGCCGGUGACAAACCGGAGGAGGUGGGGAUGACGUCGGAAGUCCUCAUGUACUUAUGGGUAGGGCUUCACACGUCGUAUACAAUGGUCAGGACAGAGGGUCGCCAACCCGCGAGGGGAGCCAAUCCCAGAAACCCGAUCGUAGUCGGAUCUCGUGAUCGCAACUUCGACUGCGUGAAGUCGGAAUCCUUUAGUAAUCGCGGAUCAGCAUGUCGCGGUGAAUACGUUCCCGGGUCUUGUACACACCGCCCGUCACACCAUGGGGUGCACCAAGUAGUUAGCUAACCUGUAAGGAGGAGCCGAUUACCACGGUAGGAUUCAUGACUGGGAGUGAAGUGUCAACCAAGGUAG